rnacentral:rRNA from 1 species
UUGAUUACGUCCCUGCCCUUUGUACACACCGCCCGUCGCUACUACCGAUUGAAUGGCUCAGUGAGGCGUCCGGACUGGCCCAGAGAGGUGGGCAACUACCACUCAGGGCCGGAAAGCUCUCCAAACUCGGUCAUUUAGAGGAAGUAAAAGUCGUAACAAGGUCUCCGUUGGUGAACCAGCGGAGGGAUCAUUA